GAACGCGCGAAAGCUAAUUUGAUAUGCAAAAUUUAUACUAAUUACAUUUAGUAUAAAUUUUGCAUAUCAAAUGAGCUUUCGCGCGUUC